AACGAACGCUGGCGGCAUGCCUAACACAUGCAAGUCGAACGAGAUCUUCGGGUCUAGUGGCGCACGGGUGCGUAACGCGUGGGAAUCUGCCCUUUGGUUCGGAAUAACAGUUGGAAACGACUGCUAAUACCGGAUGAUGACGAAAGUCCAAAGAUUUAUCGCCAGAGGAUGAGCCCGCGUAGGAUUAGCUAGUUGGUGUGGUAAAGGCGCACCAAGGCGACGAUCCUUAGCUGGUCUGAGAGGAUGGUCAGCCACACUGGGACUGAGACACGGCCCAGACUCCUACGGGAGGCAGCAGUGGGGAAUAUUGGACAAUGGGCGAAAGCCUGAUCCAGCAAUGCCGCGUGAGUGAUGAAGGCCUUAGGGUUGUAAAGCUCUUUUACCCGGGAUGAUAAUGACAGUACCGGGAGAAUAAGCACCGGCUAACUCCGCGCCAGCCGCCGCCGUAA
rnacentral:rRNA from 1 species